rnacentral:rRNA from 1 species
GAUGAACGCUGGCGGCGUGCUUAACACAUGCAAGUCGAACGAAGCACUUUAUUUGAUUUCCUUCGGGACUGAUUAUUUUGUGACUGAGUGGCGGACGGGUGAGUAACGCGUGGGUAACCUGCCUUGUACAGGGGGAUAACAGUUGGAAACGGCUGCUAAUACCGCAUAAGCGCACAGCAUCGCAUGAUGCAGUGUGGAAAACUCCGGUGGUAUAAGAUGGACCCGCGUUGGAUUAGCUAGUUGGUGAGGUAACGGCCCACCAAGGCGACGAUCCAUAGCCGACCUGAGAGGGUGACCGGCCACAUUGGGACUGAGACACGGCCCAAACUCCUAAGGGAGGCAGCAGUGGGGAAUAUUGCACAAUGGGCGAAAGCCUGAUGCAGCGACGCCGCGUGAGCGAAGAAGUAUUUCGGUAUGUAAAGCCCUAUCAGCAGGGAAGAUAAUGACGGUACCUGACUAAGAAGCACCGGCUAAAUACGUG